AACGAACGCUGGCGGCGCGUCUUAAGCAUGCAAGUCGAACGGCAAGAGAGAAGCUUGCUUCUCUCCUAGAGUGGCGGACUGGUGAGGAACACGUGGGUAAUCUACCCUUAAGAUGGGGAUAGCUGUUAGAAAUAGCAGGUAAUACCGAAUAGGCUCGGUGCUUCAUAAGAGGCGUUGAGGAAAGGGAGCUACGGCUCCGCUUGAGGAUGAGCUUGCGUCCCAUUAGCUAGUUGGUGAGGUAAAGGCCCACCAAGGCGACGAUGGGUAUCCGGCCUGAGAGGGUGAUCGGACACAUUGGGACUGAGAUACGGCCCAAACUCCUACGGGAGGCAGCAGCUAAGAAUAUUCCGCAAUGGACGGAAGUCUGACGGAGCGACGCCGCGUGGAUGAAGAAGGCUGAAAAGUUGUAAAAUCCUUUUGUUGAUGAAGAAUAAGGGGAAGAGGGAAUGCUUCUCUGAUGACGGUAAUCAGCGAAUAAGCCCCG
rnacentral:rRNA from 1 species